UUGUGUGAAUACAUAGCACAUUCGAGGUAGACGCAGAGAACUGAAACAUCUAAGUACCUGCAGGAAGAGAAAGAAAAUUCGAUUCCCUGAGUAGCGGCGAGCGAAACGGGAAAAGCCCAAACCAGCAAGCUUGCUUGUUGGGGUUGUAGGACUCCAAUAUGGUAGUUCUUUCAGAUAGUCGAAUGACUUGGAAAAGUCAGUCAAAGAGGGUAAAAACCCCGUAGACGAAAUGUGGAAGACACCUAGGAGGAUCCUGAGUACGGCGGAACACGAGAAAUUCCGUCGGAAUCCGGGAGGACCAUCUCCCAAGGCUAAAUACUCCCUAGUGACCGAUAGUGAACCAGUACCGUGAGGGAAAGGUGAAAAGCACCCCGGAAGGGGAGUGAAAUAGAACCUGAAACCGUGUGCCUACAACAAGUCAAAGCCCGUUAAUGGGUGAUGGCGUGCCUUUUGUAGAAUGAACCGGCGAGUUACGAUUGCAUGCGAGGUUAAGUUGAAGAGACGGAGCCGCAGCGAAAGCGAGUCUGAAUAGGGCGUUUGAGUAUGUAGUCGUAGACCCGAAACCAUGUGAUCUACCCAUGUCCAGGUUGAAGGUGCGGUAAAACGCACUGGAGGACCGAACCCACGUACGUUGAAAAGUGCGGGGAUGAGGUGUGGGUAGCGGAGAAAUUCCAAACGAACUUGGAGAUAGCUGGUUCUCUCCGAAAUAGCUUUAGGGCUAGCCUCGGAAUUGAGAAUGAUGGAGGUAGAGCACUGUUUGGACUAGGGGCCCAUCUCGGGUUACCGAAUUCAGAUAAACUCCGAAUGCCAUUCAUUCAUAUCCGGGAGUCAGACUGUGAGUGAUAAGAUCCAUAGUCGAAAGGGAAACAGCCCAGACCACCAGCUAAGGUCCCAAAAUAUAUGUUAAGUGGAAAAGGAUGUGGGGUUGCACAGACAACUAGGAUGUUGGCUUAGAAGCAGCCACCAUUUAAAGAGUGCGUAAUAGCUCACUAGUCGAGUGACCCUGCGCCGAAAAUGUACCGGGGCUAAACAUAUUACCGAAGCUGUGGAGUACACCUUUAGGUGUAUUGGUAGGAGAGCGUUCUAAGGGCGUUGAAGGCAGAUCGUGAGGACUGCUGGAGCGCU
rnacentral:rRNA from 1 species